AGUGAACGCUGGCGGUAGGCCUAACACAUGCAAGUCGAACGGCAGCACAGUAAGAGCUUGCUCUUACGGGUGGCGAGUGGCGGACGGGUGAGGAAUACAUCGGAAUCUACUUUUUCGUGGGGGAUGACGUAGGGAAACUUACGCUAAUACCGCAUACGACCUACGGGUGAAAGCAGGGGGUCUUCGGACCUUGCGCGAUUGAAUGAGCCGAUGUCGGAUUAGCUAGUUGGCGGGGUAAAGGCCCACCAAGGCGACGAUCCGUAGCUGGUCUGAGAGGAUGAUCAGCCACACUGGAACUGAGACACGGUCCAGACUCCUACGGGAGGCAGCAGUGGGGAAUAUUGGACAAUGGGCGCAAGCCUGAUCCAGCCAUACCGCGUGGGUGAAGAAGGCCUUCGGGUUGUAAAGCCCUUUUGUUGGGAAAGAAAAGCAGCAGGUUAAUACCCCGCUGUUCUGACGGUACCCAAAGAAUAAGCACCGGCUAACUUCGUG
rnacentral:rRNA from 1 species